GACGAACGCUGGCGGCGUGCUUAACACAUGCAAGUCGAACGGAAAGGCCCUGCCUUUGUGGGGUGCUCGAGUGGCGAACGGGUGAGUAACACGUGAGUAACCUGCCCUUGACUUUGGGAUAACUUCAGGAAACUGGGGCUAAUACCGGAUAGGAGCUCCUGCUGCAUGGUGGGGGCUGGAAAGGUUCGGCGGUUGGGGAUGGACUCGCGGCUUAUCAGCUUGUUGGGGGGGUAGUGUCUUACCAAGGCUUUGACGGGUAGCCGGGCUGAGCGGGUGACCGGCCAAGUUGGGACUGAAAUGCGGCCCAGCCUCCUACGGGAGGCGACAGUGGGGAAUAUUGCACAAUGGGCGGAGCCCUAACGCAGCAACGCCGCGUGCGGUAUGACGGCCUUCGGGUUGUAAACCGCUGUCGCCUGUGACGAAGCGUGAGUGACGGUAAUGGGUAAAGAAGCACCGGCUAACUACGUG
rnacentral:rRNA from 1 species